GCAAGAUUAAAACUCAAAGGAAUAGACGGGGACCCGCACAAGCGGUGGAGCAUGUGGUUUAAUUCGAAGAUACGCGAAGAACCUUACCUAGACUUGAAAUCCUUGGAAUCCUGCAGAGAUGCGGGAGUGCUAGUUUACUAGAACCAAGUGACAGGUGCUGCACGGCUGUCGUCAGCUCGUGUCGUGAGAUGUUGGGUUAAGUCCCGCAACGAGCGCAACCCUCGUGAUUAGUUGCUAACAGUUCGGCUGAGCACUCUAAUCAGACUGCCUUCGUAAGGAGGAGGAAGGUGAGGACGACGUCAAGUCAUCAUGGCCCUUAUGUCUAGGGCUACACACGUGCUACAAUGGUUGGGACAAAGAGCAGCGAUACCGUGAGGUGGAGCAAAUCUUAAAACCCAAUCUCAGUUCGGAUUGAAGUCUGCAACUCGACUUCAUGAAGCUGGAAUCGCUAGUAAUCGUAGAUCAGCAAUGCUACGGUGAAUACGUUCCCGGGUCUUGUACUCACCGCCCGUCACACCAUGGGAGUUGAUUUCGCUCGAAGCCGGAAUACUAAAUUAGUUACCGUCCACAGCGGAAUUAGCGACUGGGGUGAAGUCGUAACAAGGUA
rnacentral:rRNA from 1 species